rnacentral:rRNA from 1 species
ACGGGGGGGGUAAGCGUUGUUCGGAAUUACUGGGCGUAAAGAGCGUGUAGGCGGCCAGAUAAGUCCGCUGUGAAAACUCGAGGCUCAACUUCGAGCUGUCGGUGGAAACUGUCUGGCUAGAGUCCGGAAGAGGAGAGUGGAAUUCCUGGUGUAGCGGUGAAAUGCGCAGAUAUCAGGAAGAACACCCGUGGCGAAGGCGGCUCUCUGGGACGGUACUGACGCUGAGACGCGAAAGCGUGGGGAGCGAACAGGA